AGAAACUGCAACCACCUGUUUUCCAAUAUUGCGGCCUGCGAAGAGUCCAGUUAGAGCUGCCGGAGCAUUUUCAAGGCCUUCUGCUAUGUCUUCCACAUACACAAUCUUUCCUUGUUUGAUGUAAGGCAGAACCAUGUCUAGAUAUUUUGGGAACAGGUGAAAGAAAUCAUAGACCAAGAAACCCUCCAUAUGAAUGCGUUUCGGCACAAGAUGCAUCAAGUUAUGAACACCUUCCGGCUGCUCGAGAUUGUACUGUGAGACCAUUCCACAAACAGAAAUUCGCCCACGGACCCUCAUGUUGAGUACUACUGCAUCAAGCAUUUUUCCUCCAACAUUUUCAAAGUAAAUAUCAAUGCCAUCAGGAAAGUACCUGCCAAAUGAUAGAGCAAAUUUGGUUUUUAGAUUUUACCCUCAAAUAACUUGAAGGGGAAAUGUCAAAAAGAAAAAUAUUUCGGUUUACCAACUAAAUAGAUUAGCAGCACCAUAGAAAUUUCAACUGCCUAGGUUACCUAUGCUGACUAAAAGCCGUAAACAUAAAAAAUUAGACUCCCUUGCACCACUGGAAUAUCAUAUGAAUCCCUUACCAUGGCCCAUUGAAUAGGAAUUUCAAGGCAAUAAAGCAGACCAUACAAAAUCGAACAACUCUUUCUUUAACCAGUUUAAGAUGCCUUCUUUCACAGCCUGAAACAGAUGUUACAGGUUUUUUUUCCUAACAUCUUACAGCUGUAUACAAUUUUUUUUAGUAGGGUUCCAUUUUACCACCACAGGUCCAGUCUAAGCAAAUUGUACUGCUAACCUUUUCAAAGCUGCAUCCAAGUCCAGCUCUUCUUUGUAGUUGAAAGCAUCAUCAAAGCCAAACUUAUUCUUCAACAAAUCAACCUUAUAUUACAGAAAUGAGAGGAUAGGAGAUGUAAAGGUCAAGAAAACAAAAAUAAAAAAGAAGCUAAUUAAUGAGAUUGCUUGCUUCACUUUGACAGAAGAAUAAAUACUAGGAUGACAAUUAUCUAUUUAACUUCCAUGACACAAAGGGAGAGCCAUUUGAUCCUCUGAUAACUUGCAAAAUUACCUCUUUGUCAUGCACGAAAAAGGAAAGCAUAUACAAUAUUGGAAAUGGUAAUGGGAAGCCUAGGGAGCUGAUGCAGACCAUGAAAAUAUGUAUUCAGAGAAGAUCUAGGGCAGCCUACAGAACUACUCAGCACCAUAUCUCUCACUGAACUACAUGCUAUCAGUGUUUUUCCCCAAAAUUCAGACUGCAAGAAAAAAUCAAGGAAAACAAUAUCCUUGUCCAACAAAAUUUUAUCCCUAAAUUCAGUCAAGAUUUUUUACAAGCUUCUAACCAUGAAAUAGACAGAGUAUUGUAAAAGGAACUGGAUGUCCAGAUACUUGUUCAUUGCAACAACUUCCAAGUAAUGGAACGACAGAAAAUUCAUAUGGACAAAAGGACUAACCUUAAAAUUUCCUACGGACAAAAGGAUGUAAAAUCUUUGUCAAAUGCUGGUGUUUUCUGUAAGUCUUAUGUUUUCUAGGCUAUUCAGAUGUUGUUUUUUGGAAACUGAUUAGAAUGCAUUUACUUGUAGGCUACUUCCAAACUUAGAUCCUCAUUGGUACAUUAUUAGAAGAGUAAGCUUUCAAGAGAAUAUGUUUGGAUGCAAGAAACACCCCCCUUUUCAUGGUGCCUAAGAUUUGUGCGACGCUGAAAUUCCCAGGAACCUAUUGAAUAGAACAUUUACGUACCAUCUUUUUCUGGCUCUUCCAGUUAAUAUAUUUUGCUUGCCAUUUGGCAGCCUUCGACCAGCUUUCUAACUAGCAAAGAGCUUUUUAGUCUUUGGUAUAAUAACUUAUUAUUCAAGCAGGUUUGCAAUUCCAAGUUUUAUUGUGUUCCAGACUUUGAAAAGCAAUAGCAUCAGAUUAGACCGAGAAGCAGUGCCAAAUAAAACAGGAAAAACACUAAUAACCAUAAACAUUCACUAAGGAGACAUACCUUGUCUUUGCUUCCAGCACUUCCAACAACAUAGCAACCUAACAACUUUGCAAACUGCCCAACAAGCUGACCAACCGCACCAGAGGCUGCUGAUAUGAAAACAAACUCCCCUUUCUUAGGAGAGCAUAUUUCAUAGAAGCCAGCAUAAGCAGUCAAACCCGGCAUUCCUAGAAGAAGAAAUCAUAAUGGAAACCAAUGAUAGUUACGGUAAUAUCUAUAUCAGCAGUGUCUCACCCUAGUUGCCCUGAACCUUGUGAGGUUAAGAACCGCAGAUGGCCUUCUAAACCUCAAAAGGUUGAUGAACAACAGCCAGUGAAAUCAUUUUCUGAGAUCAUUGACCAUACCGAAUGAUGAAUCAAGACAAAGAAGCAUCUGAAGAGAUAAAAGGCAAGCAUGUCUACUCUUAGGACACAAUGUAUCACAUUUUAGCCAACAAAUUAAUAUCCUGACAUGACUAGAAGAAUCAAUAACAGCCCUACACCAUGCACACUAUAAGAAGUUGGUCUCAUUUCUCUUGAGCCACAUAUCAUCAUCAACAUAAUCAUAACAAAUGUAAGCUUCCCACACCCCAUUCAAUAACUCGAACUUUACUGAGUUCUAAACACAAUAGUUUGGUUUUCUAGAAUUCUCAAAAAAUCAAACAAAACAUUAAAAAUUUCAAUCAAUUUAUUAGCACCAACAAUGAUCUGAUUUCAUAAAUAGAACAGUUACAAAAGCCGAAAAGGCUUACCAAGAAUUCCAAUAUAAUAGGAAAGGGGCACAUCUUUGUCAUGGAUUUUAAAUAGUGUCUCUGUUGCUGUAAUCAGACUGUACUCUUCCCAUCCAGUCAUUCCCCAAAUGAAGUCCCCCUUUUUAUAAUCCGGAUGCCUUGAAUCCAAAACUUUAGCCACUCCACGCCCACUUAUAGGCUACAUUCAUACAAAUUCCAAGCAAAAACAAUGUCACAUCUUACUUCAGUAAGACACAAACAACAAAAUCUAUUAGUUUAUGAGCUAAAGUAAGCUAUUCUCUCCAUAAUUUCCAUCCACUUCAAAGCAAGUAAAUUUACACAAAACAUCCACAAAAGCUACAGCUUCAUUGUAUAAUUAAGAACAAAACCAUGUUACAAAAUUAAUUACAAAAACUCAGUUGCUGAAACAAAUUAAAAAAUGCAAUCUUUACUUCAAAACAUGCUAAAAGCAAGAGAAACAGUGAUAAAACUCAAAUGGAUCUAAGGUAACUCACCGAACCAGGCUUCAAGGGAGAAAUAUAAGAGCCCUGAAAGUUUCUCAUUCGGUUUCUCAUGUAAGGAUCACAAGACAAGUAAAGAUUUUUUACAAGAACACCGUUAGUACAAUCUUCUGGGACCUUGAGUUUGAUAGUACUAGUAGUGAUGUACAUGUCUGACUCUUUAAGAACACCAGGCACGUAGUCCUUGAAGAUCACUUGCUUGUUGCUCACCACUUCACCAUCAUCACUUUCCAUUUUCACUUCACAGUUGUUGCUUCAGUUUGUCUCUGUAAUGUAGACAGAGGAGAGUGGUUUGUUAAGGGAUAACAUGGACGACUGGUCACAGGAGUGACUAGCUAUGUUACGUCAUCCACUGCGGGUUAAAUAAUCAAUUUUUUUUAAAAAAAACUUUUAAAUAAAAUAAAAAAGAGGAUAUUAUUUUAUAUAUAUUUUUUAGUUUUUAUUUUUUUAACCUGUUAGUCACUUUAUUUUAUAUUUAAACCAAAAAAAAUUAUUAUCCUAUAUUGACAAAAAAUAAAUAUAAACUAAAAUGUUUUAAAUCUUACAUGAAAAAAAAACAUAUUCUUAUAGUAUUUAUACAAUAAACUAUAAAAUGAAUUAAUAACCAACUGAAAAGUAUGGAAAAAAAAAUCUAGAGUAUGAGAAAAAAUACAUUUGAAAAAAAAAGAUCCUUUCUGGAUUUUUGCCGGAUCACCCGAGUUUUGGGUUGACCCGGUAGGUUGACUGGUUUACUCAGGGUCAAUUGCAGGUUUAGAUUUUGAAUGAAACAUACCCACCCAAUGCUGCUGGGUCUGGCCUCCUAGCAAGACCUAAAGCGUUGGGUUCUGUUCUGGGCAUGGCCCAAGCUGUUAGGUCCUGGUGGUAAAAGGGUCCAAUUGGGUGUUGGGUUAUGGUGGUAGGCAGGGCCCAAAACUGUUGGGUUCUAAUGAGGUAGGAGGUAGGGUCCAUCGUUGUUGAAUCCUAGUUGUUGGGUCGUGGUGUGUGAGAGACUGUUAUUGUUAUUACUACUUUGGGUCCUACACCCAAUUGGGUCCUGCACCGGUAGGACCUUAUGCUAUUUUGGGUCCUGCACACGUCAAGAUCCAAAGCAAUUUUGAGUCCUACAUCAAUAAGACCCAGAGUUAUUUUGGGUCAUACACCUAACAGGACCCAAUACCCAAUUAGGUCCUGCACUCGACAGGACCUAGGGCCCAAUUGGGCGUUGGGUCAUGGUGAAGUGGGAGGCACGACCCAAAGUUGUUGGGUCCUGGUUAUGAGGCCCAAUGUUGUUAGAUCCUGGUGAGGUGGGAGGCAAAGCCCACUGUUGUUGAAUCCUAGCUGCUGGGUCGUGGUGGGUGGGAGGUUGUUAUUUUUAUUACUUCUUUGGAUCCUGCACCCGGUAGAAACCAACACUCAAAUGGGUCCUACACCGGCAGGACCCAAUGCUAUUUUGGGUCUUGCACACUUCAGGAUCCAAAGCAAUUUUAGGUCUUGCAUCAGCAUAACCCAGAGUUAUUGUGGGUCUUGCACCUGGCAGGACCCAACACCCACAUGGGGCCUGCACCAGGCAAGAGGACCCAAAGUUAUUUUGAGUCCUGCACAUGUUAGGAACCAAAGCAAUUGUGGGUCCUGCACUCGGCAUGACCCAUAGGUAUUAUGGGUCCUGCACCUGGCAGGACCCAACACCUAAUUAGGUCCUGCACACGUCAGGACCAAAGCAAUUGUGGGUCCUUCACCUGAUAGGACCUAACACCCAAUUAGGUCCUGCACACGUCAGGACCCAAAGAAAUUUAGGUGCAGGACCCAACUCUAAUAGUUCUUGUAGGGGAUUGGAUCUAACACAUAAUUUAUUUAUGUAUUUAAUAAUAUAUAUAAUUCAAAACUACUGCAUAAAAAAUCUAAAGAUAAUAAAACAUUGAUAAAACUUUGAAUCUCAUAUACUAAUGUUAUAAAAUUAAAAUAUCUUCUAUUACUCAAAAUAAAAUCUCUUAUACAAUACCAAAAAUAUAAAAUAUGAGCUCCAUCAACUUUAUUAUGACAAUAUUAUAGAACAAAAUUAAAAAAAAUUUAAAUUUUUUUCAAAGUACUUUUAAAACUAUAGGUCAGGUGCACUUUUCAAGCCCCGAGAUUCUUGGGUCUGGAAAAGGAUGCCAGACCCAAGUUAAUAAUAAUAAUAAUUGAUAUAUUAAUAAUAAUUGAUUUUACUCUUAAAGUCGAAUUCUAUUCUAUGUUUUUUUUUAUAGUAAUAAUAUUUAUUGUAAAUUUAAUAUUUUUUUCUUGGGUCUCGUUUUGCAGUAAGAGACAAUCUUAAAAUAUUUAAAAAACAAUACAAAAAAUAUAUAAAAAAUUAAUUUAAAGUAAGAUGAAAAUUCAAAAUUUUGUCCACACAAUCUCUCUCUCUCUCUCUCUCUCUCUCUCUCUCUAUAUAUAUAUAUAUAUAUAUAUAUAUAUAUAUAUAUAUAUAUAAUAAUACAAAAAUAUCAAAAAAUAUUAAUUUAAAAUAAAUGAAAAUAAUUAAAAAUCUUCAAAUUUCUUGGGUUUGGCUUGUUGAAAGUUAAUUCAAAGUAAUUCAAAUUAAAAAUUAAGAAAAUUAACGUUGUUGGGUCUUGCUGGGAGGCAAGGCCAACGCUAAUGAUAUUUUUUGGAAGUGUUUCAGGUAUGGCAUAUUAAGUGAAAUUUAAUUUUAAUUAUUAUAAUAGACAAUGAUAAAAUAAUCAAAAAAUUAUGAAGUAAAAACAUGAUAUUCAUAAAGUUAGUGGUGGACUGUAAAAGUUAAGUAAAGGCAGUUCAAUCCAAGGAGAACAAAUUGCCUAGAGCCAAGUAUUUUAUGCCUUAUAUAUAUAGAAAAGUGGACGUCAAUAAACAGCAAGUUGCAAUAAAAAAGCACAUGAUGAAGAUGUCCAGUGAGCUUGCGAUGCUGGAUAAGAAAGCUUUGAUUAACUGAAUGCUAGUUUUUUUUCCUACAGCAAGAGAUAAGUGUAACUGUAAGCUACAAAUUAUUCUUAAAGCAAUAAACAUCAAAGAUUCUUGAAGAUAAAUAAGAAAUGAGAAAUAAAGAUGUAAUUGUUGUUGAGUAUAUGAGCUCAUAAAAAAAAGGAAGGCAAUAAGAAAAUAAAGACAACGCUUCCCACAAACGCUACAGUGUUAUCUACAGUUAAACACUCUGUUGGAUCUGACUGGGAGGCAGGACCCAAUGCUAUUGACACUUUUUGGAAGUGUUUUGGGUCUGACUUGUCAACCAAACCUGACAACGUUGGGUUUGGCUACCAAAGCCAGACCCAGCAGCUUUUGAAAGAGAAGACCACGUCUCCAACCACAAUUCUUGACUAAAAACACAGGAAAGAAACGCCCCAAAGGUGUUACAAUGCCGUCCACAGUGCAAAUACUCUAUAGUCAUAGUGUCGUCCACAGGGCAAUGUAUCUAUGUCCAUAGUAAAUAUACAGUAUUUCUACAGUGUUUUUCCAUAUGUUUUAAUAUAUAGCAAAUCAAUUGUGCAAGUCCACAGUUAAUUGUCUCUUAGUUCACAGUACAUACAUGUAUAGUAAGUCCACAGUGAAUUGUCUCUUGGUCUACAAUGCAUUCAUGUACAGUAGAAAUCCCAUAAUAUAUAAUAAAACAAUUAUGCAAGUCCAUAGUUAAUUGUCUCUUGGUUCACAGUACAUACAUGUAUAGUAAGUCCAUAAUGAAUUGUCUCUUGGUCCACAAUGCAUUCAUGUAUACUAGAAAUCCCAUAAUAUAUAAUAAAACAACUGUGCAAGUCCACAAUUAAUUGUCUCUUGGCCCACAGUGUAUAUAUGUAUAGUAAGUCCAUAAUAAAUUGUCUCUUGAUUCACAAUGUAUUCAUGUACAGUAGAAAUCUCACGUGGUUUAGAGUUCUAUCAAUGUUUUAAAUGGGCAAUUUUAAGAAUAAAUUAUCUUUUCUAAUAUUUCUGUGUUAAAUAAAUAAAUACUUUCAAAUAUAUGAUGGGGUUAAACAAAAACCACACCGCGUGUAAAUAAACAAACACUUUAAAAAAUAUAAUAGGAAUGAAACACAUAUCACACCGUGUUGGAGAAUAAGUUUGUUUAUUUUUUAAAUUUACUUUUUUAUUAUAAAAUUAUAAAAUUGAUAUUUUUUUAAUUUUUUUUAUAAUUUUAAUAGGUUGAUGUUAAAAAUAAAAUAAAAAUUUUAAAAAAUUAUUUUAAUAUAUUUAAAAUAAAAGAUAUUUUAAAAAACCGGCUUGAAAUAUAAUAUCAACCACGAUCUUAGAACAAACGGAGUGUAAUAAUUUAUUUAUUUAUUUAUUUGUUUUAAGAUAAAGAGUAUUGGGACCACACAUCACAUCAUCCCCCAUGUUCCACUCGUUUGCGUCAAACUGAGGCUUUGUGCUUUGGUUUUCCUACUCGCCAGCACCAACCGACCUGAGUUCCUAUAUAUACAUGUGCAUCAUCCCUUCUCUUGUCCUGAAACAUCAAUCAAACAUCUUAUUAUCCGUUCUGUCUUGUCCUGUCCAACGCUACUUGAACUUUCAGAUUGCAUAAGAGGAUGGAAUUGAAGUUCGUAGAACCCGUGGCCAAGAAUGGAAAGGAAUUGGCUCAAGUUAAUGAAGAGGAUGUUGCGUCGGAGUUUAAAAGAUGGGAAAACGCUGUGGUUGCUUAUUUUCUUGGCCAUGAUUCAACCUUCGGUCCAACUUCUUUCAACAAGUUUAUCAACAAUUUAAUCGACUCGGAGUGGAGAAAAUAUGGGAAUGUUAAGGUAUAUUCACAAGGGUCAGGAGUUUUUGUCUUGGAUUUUGAAUCUGCUCAUGGCAAGGAGUUGGCAUUGGGUGAGGGUCCAAGGUUUUAUGAUGGUAGUAAACCUUUUAUUUUAAAGCCAUGGAGUCGUGAUCUGAGUUUGGAAAUCAAAGAGUUGAAGUCAGCACCGAUUUGGAUUAAGUUACCGAAUCUGAGGUUGCAUCUGUGGUCUCCUGAGGCACUUAGUAAGAUUGCAAGUUUGGUGGGCAGACCUUUGUUUGCUGAUACAGUGACAGCAUCAAGAGAGACGUUAUGCUUUGCAAGAGUUUGUGUCGAAGUGGAUUUUGAUAAGAUGUUACCUGAUUCAGUCACCAUUGAGGAUGACAAGGGCUACAGCUAUGAUCAAAAGGUUGAGUAUGAAUGGCAGCCCACAUCUAGAUGCUCCUAUUGUCUGCACCUUGGGCAUUCUGAUUCUUGUCCAAGACGCAAAACGACUUUCCCAUGCUCGUGCUGCAAGGAAUAUGGACGUUUCUGCUGUAAGCGAAGCUGUGGCCCUCCCAGGAUUCUGUUUGGGACAGCACAAGGUGCUGCAAAUACUUCGUCUAAGACAGCAUUCGGUUCAACUCCUGCAAUGUUUGCUGAUGAAGCCCCAGUAUUUGGUGCAAACUUUUCGUCCACUCCAGCAUUUAGUUCAACUCCUGCUUCAACAUUUGGUUCCACUCUGUUUAGUACAACUGCUCCUGGUGCUAACAGUCCAGAGGAUGAUGCAAGGACUUCUUUGUCUACUCCAGCAUUUGGUUCAGCGCUUCCUGCUGAAUAAAUUUCAAUUUACCAAUCUCCAACCACAAUAAUUUGAUUUUGAAAAUUUUCGAAAAGAAAAUAAGGAAUUAUUUUUCAAACCUAUUUGUUAUCUCAAAACAGUGUUCUGAAUUUCAUAAACUGAACCUUAAAAAUAGAUUAGGGCACAUCUUGGUCAUGGAUUAGCUAGUGUCUGUGUUUCUGUAAUAAGACUAUAUUGUUCUUGAAAUUUGUAUGUCUUGAAUCCAACCCUUUAGCAACUCCUCGCCCACCAGUAGGCUGCAUUUGCAUGAUUUCAAGCAUCCAAGUGUCACCAAUUAAUUCAGUAACCACACAAACACACAUAAGAAACCCAAUCAUUCUACAACAUGAAUUCAUCUAGACUUUUUAAAAUUACCACCUUCUUGACUCAGCCAUUUCAGUCCUGUAAUUUGACACAAGACUUGCAUAAGAAUCCGUUAGUUUCACUUCAAUGUAGCGUUAAAAUCAAUCCCAUGUCACAAAACGGCGUACAGAAUCCAAAUUUUUACUUGAAAGGCAAUAGAAACAGAGAUGAAACUCAUAUGGGUAUACGAUAACUGAUCAAAGCAGGCUUAGAUGGAUCAAUGGGAAUGCCUUGAAGGUUUGUCAUUAGGCCUUUCAUGUAGGGAUCACAUGACUGAUAAAAUUCUAUACAAGAAUCCCAUUCUUACAUUCUGGUUCUUGGACCUUGAGUUUUAUGGUACCUAGUUGUCGUCGCAUUUUGCAAGUUUUCUAGCAUAAUAUCAUAUCAGCUAAGGAUGUCAAAAGGGAAACUGCAGUUCACACAUGCCAGCCAUGUAUGUAUUUUAGGAGCACUACAGUAACCUAACCUUAACACAGAUGCAAUUGAGACGAAAAAGAAAAAUAAAAAAAGCUAACCAAGAAUUCCAGUAUAAUAGGAAAGAGGCACAUCUGUGUGUUGAAUUUUGGACAGUCCCUUUGUUGCUGUAAUGAGACUAUACUCUUCCCAUCCAGUUACUCCCCAAACCAGGUCACCUUUCUUGAACUCUGGAUGCACUGAAUCCAAAACUAUAGCCACUCCAUAUCCACUUAAAGGCUGAAUAUUUUCAAACAGACACAAGCAUUAGCUCAGGAAAUAAGACUAUUGCAUGAAAAAUUGAGCUAAAGUCAUCAACAACCCUAUUCUCAAUUGUAGUGAUCACAUAAAAUCUUUUCAAUGAAAUGCUAGAUAAACAGAAUGAAGAAGGUAUGAGUGACUGACCAAACGAGGCUUGUAGGACUCAGCAUAAUAUCCUUCACGUUUUAGCAUUCUACCUCUCAUGGCUGGAUCUCAUGACAAAUACAGAUUCUUGACUAGAAUCCCAGGAGUUCCUUCUGGUACCUUAAGUUUGAUGGUACCGGUAAUCAAAUACAUGUCUGAAUUCUUAGGCAGACCAGAAAAGACAUAGUCUUUCAAUAUCACCUGCUUGUUACUUUUUCUUCACAACUCAUCGCAUUAUCUGCCAAUACAUAUAUAUGAGAUAAUACUAAGAGCACUAGACUGGACAUGUGUACAUUUAUAUGAAACAUAAAGAUGCCAAGGGCUCUCUCUCUCAAUUCUCAAAGCAUGGUAUUAGAGGUAUCUGUUUGAAUGUCAUCUGCCGGCUUUUCGCAUAUUGGUGAACAAAAAAAGGGAUGCAUAUAAUGUCAAGUUCUGAUAAGCAGGCUUUGUCACAUCAGGGUAAAUGCUGCAUUUGGUACCUACUCAUGAUGCCCUCAUCCAACCUCAAGAAAGGAACCUGUUGGCCUUCAUUUAAGAAGAUCAUCGAGGGAAACAACAUGAUCAGCAGGAUUCUUGUGUUAAAAACACAAAAUGAGGAAAUUACCUUCACAACAGAAGUCUGUUAAAAUCAUCCAACAGCAUGUACUAGACUUGAAGGACAAAUUCAAAACAUAAAAGAUGCCAAAAUGAAUGAGAGAUAACCUUGAUGAUGAUACCAUUAACUUCGAAUGCCUACGUAUCUUGGACCCUCUGAAGUACAGGAAAGAAAAGACUAAUUACAAGACUAACUUAUAACAGACCAUACUGUUCUAGCGGUCCACAACUGAACCUAUAAUACAUAAAUUUUAUUCUUGAGAAACUAUAAUAACUUUCUUUCCAAGAUUUCUGCCAGUAAAAAGUCCUUCCAGAGCAGCUGGGCAGCUAUCAAGGCCUUCAGCUAUGUCUUCCACACACGCUAUCUUUCCUUCUCUGAUACAAGGGAGCAUGAAGUCCCAGAACUUGGGAAAAAGAUGAAAGUAGUCAAAGACAACAAAUCCUUCCACACGAAGCCGCUGGUAGAUGAUGCACAUCAGGUUUUUUAUGCCUUCUGGAUCAUCGAGUGGGUAUUGUGAAACCAUUCCACAGAGAGCAAUGCGUCCAUGGAGCCUCAUGUUUAAUAGAACUGCAUCAAUUAUCUUUCCACCAACAUUAUCAAAGAAAAUGUCAAUGCCUUCAGGAAAGUACCUGGAAUCAAUCAGAAAGCAGUAGCAAAAAAUUGUAGACUCAGAAUUUGAAGCUGACAGUACUUGUCUGUCCAGAAUGAGAAGGUGGCCUAAGAUUUACUAGAAAUAGCAUGCAUGACACUUUUUUUCCCUUCAUUGAAAAUGGACUUGGAGAUAGCCCACCAUCAUCUUCAAUUCAUGCAUGCUAUAGUAUUAUCUUCAGAAUUUACUGCUAUCAGGAUAAGAUGGAUGUCUUUUUGCAAUUGGACUGCAUCUACACUAAUCAAGGACUUGCAAAUUAAGCUAAACUAAAGCAAAACCUGACCUCUUCAGUGCUUCAUCCAAGUUUUUCUCUUCCUUGUAAUUGAAAGCGUCGUGAAACCCUAACUUGUUCUUCAACAAAUCAACCUUAACAGAAAUUUAAAAAAUAAAUUGAAACAACAAAAUGAGAUUUCUUAUUGAAACUUGGGUACAUUUUCAAGAUGAAAAGAAGGAAAGUGAAGACAACAAAGCUGUUCCUAUUCUAAACAAAUUCAAAUGCUAAACCAUCUUCCUUGUGCUUCAACAUCUUUCUCUGUUUGGAAAUCACAAGGAGUUAUGUUCUCUGUUGUAUGUUAGUCCCAAAUGAACUGACCUUUUCUUUACUUCCAGCACUACCAACAACAUAGCAACCCAUCAAUUUUGCUAGCUGCCCAACAAGCUGGCCUACAGCACCAAAUGCUGAAGAAAUGAAAACAUUUUCACCUUUCUUUGGUGCACAAAAGUCAUAGAAACCAACGUAAGCAGUCAAACCAGGCAGACCUAUGGAGAAAACACAGAAACACAAUUAGUUCCCAAACAUUUCAACAAGUUUCUUAGAUCUUGCUUAUGUAUGAACUUACCAAGAACUCCCAAAUAGUAAGAGAGGGGCACAUCCGUGUCUGUUAUUUUAAAGAGGGUUUCAGGUUCUGUAAUCAGACUGUAUUCUUCACAUCCCGUUGUUCCCCAAACAAGAUCACCCUUUUUGUAGCCAGGGUGUCCGGAGUUCAAAACCCUACCCACUCCAUAACUGGUGAUCACCUGCAUUAGUUUUCAAGCAGGAAACUCUUGUACUAGAAUCCUGAGAUUUCUCUUCAUUUCAUAGAAAAUGUAAUUAAAGAGGAUAGCAUUACUUACAGAGCCAGGAGGAUAGGAAGAGAAGACACCAGGGUUUUCGAUCUUUCUUGAUCGAAUAUACUGAUAUGGCUCAAUGGACAAGUAAAGAACCUUGACAGGAACUGUGUUUGAACCUUGUAGUACUUUCAACACCACAGUUUCAGUUGUGACAUGAAGGUCUGAUUCUUUGGGAAAACCAUUGAUGUGAUGUUUCAGCAUAACCUUCUUGUUUCUCACCUGUACAGUUUCACUAGAACUACCACCAUCUGUGUCCAUGGCUGACAAUAUUAAAGACAAGUUCAGCUACUGCUCAAUCUUGGAAACUAGAUAAGGAAGAGAGCCUGCCAUGUUUAUAGCAACUUGACUAAACCAAUCAUACAUGAAGAAAAAGUGUCAUCAGCUUUCAACAUCAUGAAUGUCGUACAAUCUAAAAACACAUGCCAUUUUUUAGAUACGUGUCUUAAAUUUUUGCUAGGAGUCAAAGUGGAUUGAUAGAGAAUUGGCUUGGUGUCUAACAUUAAGCAAUGGGGGACAAGGUCACGAGAGUGAUCUUAGACCAUCAGAGCAAAGUCCAUUACACUAUAUCAUGGCCAGUUUUAGUGUUCAAGGUCUAUUAUACGUUGGGUUCUAUCGACUUAUACAGGCUUUUCCACCUUCCAUGGAGGAUUAAUUUGGGUUUGUCUAGCUAAUAAUUUUAGAUUAUAACUUGCUGUGCUUUUAUACGAGUGUUAGAUUUCUUUUGUUUUCUUUGUUGGGUUAUGCCCAAACCAAAAUAAUAACCCUUUUCUCUUCUCUUCUCUUCUCUUCUCUUUCCCUUUUAAUUGCUUAUUCAAUCAUGGUUAUAUAACUAGUUAUGUAAAUGCAUUUAGUCUUGGGAUAUCUUCAUUUCUUAUAAAAAACUUAUAUAUGUGAGUCUUUUCGAUUUGUUUCUAUAACUAAAAUUUUUUAAGUGCAAAUAAAAAAAUUUAUGCAUUCAUGUAAUAAAAUAAAUUGAGAACUACGUGUGUUAAUAAAUUAAAAAAAUAAUUAAAAAUAAAAGUUGAAAAAUUGAGAGAUGAAUAUAGAUCAAGAUAUUUAAUUUUGCAAGAUGGAACAUUUACCCGGUUGUGUUUGAUAAAUUUUAUUAAUUAAAAUAAUUUUUUUAUUCAAUCAAAUGAUAAUAGAAAUAGACACACACGUGAAAUUAUUUGAAUAAAAUAAAAGGAAAAAAAAUAUAAUAUGCAAGACUGCACAUAUUAGAAAUAUUAUCUGAAAAUAAAAAAAUUAUUUUAAAAAAUAAAGUUCAUCUAUACAAAGGAUAAAAACAAGAAAAUUAUAGAUGAAUAAAAAAAUCACUUCAAAAAUUAAACACAUACAAAAUAAUUUUAUAAAAAUAUCUAUCCAAAAAAGGUUAAAUAAGCAAAUAAAAAAAAUCACAUAUGAGCAAUAUUAAAAGAAAAAAAAGAGCAAAACAAAUAGUCUAGGCGCGUAGGCAUGGCAAGGAAAAGCCCUAGCAUAUGGGUGGGCCUUCAAGCUCAAGCCCCCGCACCUAUUUUUUUAAAAAAAUAAAAUUUUAAAGGGACAGAUAACUUGUCAUCCACCCUUAUUUUUUGAAAUAAAAUACAUAGACGACGUGUUGCCUGCAAGCCUAGUUUAUGCUCACCAUAAUGAUGCUCACAAAGUUAGGGAAGCAUUUCUUUUGGGGAAAAACCCAAUUUUAAGCUAUUUUAACAAAACGAACACCUUACUAACAUUCUUGAAAGACCCACAAACUAAUCCAUCAACUCAAAACACCCAAAAAGGAUCCAAAAACCAAUAAUUAAAUUGGUUUAGAUUUAUCUUUCUUGGCCUAGAUCUAUCUUUUCAUGAAAUAUUGAGAAAUCAAAAAAUCACCAUUAAACUUCUCUCAUCUCAUGGAAUCCGUGGACACAAAAAAAUCCAUUUUGGUGGUCAGAAAUGGCUUGAACGAUGUCUUUUUCUCUCAUCACCAGAAUUCAGCAACCUUUCUCUACCUCCUCUCUUUAAUCAAAGAUUGAAAAAUAACAUAAAUAAACUUUAGUACAAAAAUUGAAUUUUUUAAACUUCAAGGGAUCUAAAUUGUAUAAUUUAUGUUAUUUUGAAAGUUUGAGGGUCUAAAUAUAAUUUUCUUGAAAUCUAUGGUACGUUAUCUAUGUUUGAUGGUUUUUUUUUAUGGCCUAUUUUCUUCCAAUUUUACCUUUGACUAUGAAAUCUAAAGCAAUUGGCUUUAAAUUAGGAUUUAAAAGCCUGAAAUUAAACUUUGAGGACAAAAAUAAAUUACUAGGAGUUUUACAAUGUUUUGUGAGUAUAUGAAUAAUGCUAGCUAUAGUUAAAAACUAACGCCUUUUAGUUUUAUAUACCUUUUAGUUAUAAGUCAUAUUGAUGUUUGAAAGAAUUAACUCAUAAGUUGGCAGGUUGAUCUAGUUUAUCCCAAAAUUACUUCAUUUUAGUUUUUUUUUUCAAAACAAAUUUUAGUUUUUUUUUUCAAAACAAAUUUUAAUAAACUAAAACUAUAUUUUUUAAACAAUUUUUUUUAAAAUUUUUUAGAAUUGACUUAACAAGGAAAGUACCUGUAAUAAAUCGAUGCAAAAACAACAACAAGAACUUGUUAUAAAAUAAAAAAUAUUUUUAAAAAUUACCCAUAAGUAUAAUAUCAAGUUACAUUACAUUUACAUUAAAAUAUUUAUGUAAAUAUUUUAAUUUACACUUAAGUAACAUUCACUAGAAUCCGGAGUUUUUUAACUUUCGGAAAAUUAGAAAGCAGGCAGCAAGUUAGACCAAGCUCCUUGGUUUUUUUUAAGGGAAACCUUUCAAUCAUAUUGAAGCCUUGGAACUAAUAUUUAAUGUUAAAAUUAUUAACUCCUUCAAGUGGGAGACUUCAAUCUCCAAGAAUUUGUGUCCAAGUGAACGGUCGUUCGGAGUUACCAUCUGAUGUUCUUGUUGAAGAUGAGCAUGGUUUCUAUAGAGCAAGGGUUGAGCAUGAAUGGAAACCUCCCAGAUGCAAGUAUUGUAAAUGUUUAGGAAUAUAUAACACAUGGCAAUAGGAAUAAUACUUCGACAAACAGCAAUGAACAUGAUCGAAGUAAAAUGCAAGUGUUAAAAAAGUCAUUCACGAGAAACUGCAACCACUUGUUUUCCAAUAUUGCGACCGGCGAAGAGUCCAGUUAGAGCCGCUGGAGCAUUUUCAAGGCCUUCUGCUAUGUCUUCAACAUACACAAUCUUUCCUUGUUUGAUGUAAGGCAGAACCAUGUCUAGAUAUUUUGGGAAAAGGUGAAAGAAAUAAUAGACCAAGAAACCCUCCAUAUGAAUGCGUUUCAGCACAAGAUGCAUCAAGUUAUGAACACCUUCCGGCUGCUCGAGAUUGUAUUGUGAGACCAUUCCACAAACAGAAAUUCGCCCACGGACCCUCAUGUUGAGUAGUACUGCAUCAAGAAUUUUUCCUCCAACAUUUUCAAAGUAAAUAUC
rnacentral:lncRNA from 1 species